GAUCCUGCUCAGGAUGAACGCUAGCUACAGGCUUAACACAUGCAAGUCGAGGGGAAACGACAUCGAAAGCUUGCUUUUGAUGGGCGUCGACCGGCGCACGGGUGAGUAACGCGUAUCCAACCUGCCCAUCACUUGGGAAUAACCUUGCGAAAGUAAGAGUAAUGCCCAAUGAUAUCCCACGAAGGCAUCCGAAUGGGAUUAAAGAUUUAUCGGUGAUGGAUGGGGAUGCGU
rnacentral:rRNA from 1 species